UGGCCCGUUACUGACCAGGGCUACACACGUGCUACAAUGGCCGGUACAAAGAGUUGCAAUACCGCGAGGUGGAGCUAAUCUCAUAAAGCCGGUCUCAGUUCGGAUUGGAGUCUGCAACUCGACUCCAUGAAGUUGGAAUCGCUGGUAAUCGCGGAUCAGCACGCCGCGGUGAAUACGUUCCCGGGCCUU
rnacentral:rRNA from 1 species